UUCUGGAUCCAGCUGUCCUGGUUGCUGCCUAACUUUCAGCCGUGUGUCCAGCAUAUCUGUGAACUGAUCUGGGGCCAGAGCUCAGGGAAAAACAGAGGUCAGGACAGCAGCUUGGUCUUCCCAGGUGAGGAACUGAGGACUGGCCUGCAUAGAUUUGUGCAGUAGGGAGGGCCGAGGUAGGGGCAGAUAGAUCACCAGACAGGCGGAGAAGGACAGGAGUACAGAUGGAGGGACCAGGACACAGAAUGCAAAAGACUGGCAGGAGCAGGUUUGCGAGCUCGAAUACCUUUGCUCCACUGCCACACGCAGCACCGGGACUGGGCGUCUGGAGCUUAAGUCUGGGGGUCUGAGCCUGGGACCGGCAAAUCCGCGCAGCGCAUCGCGCCCAGUCUCGGAGACUGCAACCACCGCCAAGGAGUACGCGCGGCAGGAAACUUCUGCGGCCCAAUUUCUUCCCCAGCUUUGGCAUCUC
rnacentral:lncRNA from 1 species